CGCUAGACCGAUAGCGAACAAGUAGAGUGAUCGAAAGAUGAAAAGCACUUUGAAAAGAGAGUUAAACAGCACGUGAAAUUGUUGAAAGGGAAGCGCUUGCAACCAGACUCGGCCUCGGGGUUCAGCCAGCAUUCGUGCUGGUGUACUUCCCCGGGGCCGGGCCAGCGUCGGUUUGGGCGGCCGGUCAAAGGCCCCAGGAAUGUAUCGUCCUCCGGGACGUCUUAUAGCCUGGGGUGCAAUGCGGCCAGCCUGGACCGAGGAACGCGCUUCGGCACGGACGCUGGCGUAAUGGUCGCAAACGACCCGUCUUGAAACACGGACCAAGACCGUU
rnacentral:rRNA from 1 species